rnacentral:rRNA from 1 species
ACGGGUGAGUAAUGUCUGGGAAACUGCCUGAUGGAGGGGGAUAACUACUGGAAACGGUAGCUAAUACCGCAUAACGUCGCAAGACCAAAGAGGGGGACCUUCGGGCCUCUUGCCAUCGGAUGUGCCCAGAUGGGAUUAGCUAGUAGGUGGGGUAACGGCUCACCAGGCGACGAUCCCUAGCUGGUCUGAGAGGAUGCCAGCCACACUGGAACUGAGACACGGUCCAGACUCCUACGGGAGGCAGCAUG